GAACACAGGCUAGCUGAUCUGG
rnacentral:miRNA from 1 species